AGCGAACGCUGGCGGCAGGCCUAACACAUGCAAGUCGAACGGACCCUUCGGGGUUAGUGGCGGACGGGUGAGUAACACGUGGGAACGUGCCUUUUGGUUCGGAAUAGCUCCUGGAAACGGGUGGUAAUGCCGAAUGUGCCCUUUGGGGGAAAGAUUUAUCGCCAUUAGAGCGGCCCGCGUCUGAUUAGCUAGUUGGUGAGGUAAAGGCUCACCAAGGCGACGAUCAGUAGCUGGUCUGAGAGGAUGACCAGCCACAUUGGGACUGAGACACGGCCCAAACUCCUACGGGAGGCAGCAGUGGGGAAUCUUGCGCAAUGGGCGAAAGCCUGACGCAGCCAUGCCGCGUGAAUGAUGAAGGUCUUAGGAUUGUAAAAUUCUUUCACCGGGGACGAUAAUGACGGUACCCGGAGAAGAAGCCCCGGCUAACUUCGUGCCAGCCGCCGCCGUAAAAC
rnacentral:rRNA from 1 species